UCGGCUCGAGCGACGGUGCCGACAGGCUGAGCGCAGCGGGAUAGGAAGAGAAGCUUUCGCCGGGCACUGCCGAUCAAGCGGCGGGCCACGUCCCGACAAGCCCGGUCGUGCCCCUGCUGAAUCACGCUUCGCCCCGGCUUACAGCGCUGUCCUCGGAGGCUACCUGGCGGAUCAUGCAAUGGCCGAGCUGUGCCCCGGCUCCUAUGUUGCUGAGAUAGGCCGCACUACGGCGUUCGUCGCCGUUCCUCAAGCGCCGAGGCCAGGCUGCGCUCCGGCUCGCGCCACUGUCGUAGCUACUUGCGGCUGAGCUACGCCGCAGCCAACGCUACUCAACGCCUGCGGCUCGAAUCGACUACCAAUGAAACUGCCGGUCUGUGAUGAUGAUGAUGGAGCAGCACUGGCUGCUGCCACCAAGGGGACGGAUGGAGUUACUACUGGGCCACUGACUGCGGUCCCUGUAGACUCCUGAGACCACUGCGGUGCUGUCCCCUGCCGCACCGCACUGGCGUAGGUUGUUAGAGCAGGGGCAAGAUCUUGAAUAUGCUGGGUGCUCUCCUUUGCAGUUCGUACAGUGUGGAGCAGCGUUGCAGUUCUCCGAUUGAUGGUCAUUGGCACUACACUUUGCACAUGUCGAUUUACCUCUGCAUGAUUGCGAUGCAUGUCCAAAUCUCUGGCACUUGAAAUACCGCCUCGGGUUCGGGAUAUACGGUCUUACGUUGAUCUUAAGAUAGCCUACAUCAAGUGUAGUAGGUACAAUACUGGUA